UACAGAGGGGGCAAGCGUUGUUCGGAAUUACUGGGCGUAAAGGGCGCGUAGGCGGUCGUGACAAGUCACUUGUGAAAUCUCCGGGCUUAACUCGGAACGGUCAAGUGAUACUGUCGGACUAGAGUACAGAAGGGGCAACUGGAAUUCUCGGUGUAGCGGUGAAAUGCGUAGAUAUCGGGAGGAACACCGGUGGCGAAGGCGGUUCUCAGGGCCUGACCUGACGCUGAGGAGCGAAAGCGUGGGGAGCGAACAGG
rnacentral:rRNA from 1 species